rnacentral:rRNA from 1 species
AGGACGAACGCUGGCGGCGUGCUUAACACAUGCAAGUCGAGCGGUAAGGCCUUUCGGGAAGAGGAGUGGCGGACGGGUGAGGAACACGUGGGAACCUGCCCUUUAGUGAGGAAUACCGGCGAGAAAUCGCCGACAAGACCGCAUAGCCCUCUUUGAUGAGAGUCAAAGAAGGAAAGCUUCGCAAGAGGCGCUAGAGGAGGGGCCUGCGUCCGAUUAGCUAGUUGGUGGGGUAAGAGCCUACCAAGGCGUCGAUCGGUAGCUGGUCUGAGAGGACGAUCAGCCACACUGGGAUUGAGAACGGCCCAGACUCCUACGGGGGCAGCAGUGAGGAAUUUUCGGCAAUGGGGGAAACCCUGACCGAGCAACGCCGCGUGCAGGAAGACGGCCUUCGGGUUGUAAACUGCUUUUCUUUGGGACGAGGAAGGACGGUACCAGAGGAAUCAGCCCCGGCUCACUACGUGCCAGCAGCCGC